GCAGAUGCGGCCUGAGCAAGAAGGAAACCCCGCUGGCCGCUGGCUCGACCUAGGAACCAGGAGUAAAAAUAUUUAAAAACAUAAAACGAAAAAAACAACGCAUCACGUCUGCCGGCAAAGGGCCGCGGAGAAGACGGGCAGAUGGAGGAAGGAGGCUCGUGUCCACCCAGGUCAGGCCGUGGCCCGUGGUAACCGCUUCAUUUUCCCUGCGCUCCGUGCUCCGGAGUUCACACCGCUUUCUUCUUCCUCCCUCCCCCCUCCCUCCCUGCCUUCCUUUCUUCUCUUCUCAAUCUUAUUUCAGAACAGUUAGGUUUCUGGAAAAGUUGCAAAGAUGGUGCACAGAGUCCCAUAAAGCCGGGCUCCCAGGCCUCCCGGCCACCCCCAGAGCAGGUGCCGCGGUUACAGCUCCCGGGCCGAUGUGGACGAUGUGGACCACCGCACCCGCACUUCCUUUCCGCAGCUUUAACCUUUGCUCCUUUUCUGCUCCAGAGUCUCUGCAGGCCCCUCAGGCUGUGGCCGCCUCUCCCUGCCCUGGUCCGGGGUGACCUUGACAGUGCCGAGGGCUGGGCGGGGAGGUGCAGACUGGCCCUCUGCUGGGUCUGUGUGACCUUUGUUUCUCUCGUCAUCUGGCCUCCUGGGUUCGGGGGAGGAAAACCAGGAAGGCAAAGUGCCCGGCUCAUCGGUCAGGUCAAGGGUCACGCUCUCAGCCUGACUCCUGGGGCAGCGCCUCGGUCACCUGGCUCGGGGUGUCUCCCCGGUGUCUCCACGGCCGAGUUUCUAGAAGCAGGUUCUACAGGCGGGAUCACACCUGUGAAUCGGAAACGCGUUCCUUUCUCUCCUGUAUCUGCCUUUGACGUCGGCCUCGGGUUGGCCUGGUACCGGCGUCUCGGGCGCGGCUGGAAGGCCGGCAGCCUGGCGUGCAAUGCGGCGGGUGUGGUGCUUCCAGGCUCCUUCUCAGGGUCAGGGCGUGUCCUUCUGUUUCUAUUUUGCUGAGAGUUUUUUUAAAAAUCAUAAAUGGGUGUCAAAUGUUGUCACA